rnacentral:rRNA from 1 species
AACGGACGAGAAGCUUGCUUCUCUGAUGUUAGCGGCGGACGGGUGAGUAACACGUGGAUAACCUACCUAUAAGACUGGGAUAACUUCGGGAAACCGGAGCUAAUACCGGAUAAUAUUUUGAACCGCAUGGUUCAAAAGUGAAAGACGGUCUUGCUGUCACUUAUAGAUGGAUCCGCGCUGCAUUAGCUAGUUGGUAAGGUAACGGCUUACCAAGGCAACGAUGCAUAGCCGACCUGAGAGGGUGAUCGGCCACACUGGAACUGAGACACGGUCCAGACUCCUACGGGAGGCAGCAGUAGGGAAUCUUCCGCAAUGGGCGAAAGCCUGACGGAGCAACGCCGCGUGAGUGAUGAAGGUCUUCGGAUCGUAAAACUCUGUUAUUAGGGAAGAACAUAUGUGUAAGUAACUGUGCACAUCUUGACGGUACCUAAUCAGAGAGCCACGGCUAACUACGUGCCAGCAGCCGCGGUAAUACGUAGGUGGCAAGCGUAUCCGGAAUUCACUUGGGCGUAAAGCGCGCGUAGCGCUUUUUUAAGUCUGAUGUGAAAGCCCACGGCUCAACCGUGGAGGGUCAUUGGAAACUUGGAAAACUUGAGUGCAGAAGAGGCAAGUGGAAUUCCAUGUGUAGCCGGUGAAAUGCGCAGAGAUAUGGAGGAACACCAGUGGCGAAUGGCGACUUUCUGGUCUGUAUACUGACGCUGAUGUGCGAAAGCGUGGGGAUCAAACAGGAUUAGAUGACCACUGGUAGUCCACUCCGUAAACGAUGCAUGCUAAGUGUUAGGGGUUUCCGCCCC